CCUACGGGGGGCUGCAGUGGGGAAUAUUGGACAAUGGGCGAAAGCCUGAUCCAGCCAUGCCGCGUGUGUGAAGAAGGCCUUCGGGUUGUAAAGCACUUUCAGUGGGGAAGAAAGCCUUGGGGCUAAUACCCUCGAGGAAGGACAUCACCCACAGAAGAAGCACCGGCUAACUCCGUGCCAGCAGCCGCGGUAAUACGGAGGGUGCGAGCGUUAAUCGGAAUUACUGGGCGUAAAGCGCGCGUAGGCGGUCUGAUAAGCCGGUUGUGAAAGCCCCGGGCUCAACCUGGGAACGGCAUCCGGAACUGUCAGGCUAGAGUGCAGGAGAGGAAGGUAGAAUUCCCGGUGUAGCGGUGAAAUGCGUAGAGAUCGGGAGGAAUACCAGUGGCGAAGGCGGCCUUCUGGACUGACACUGACGCUGAGGUGCAAAAGCGUGGGUAGCAAACAGGAUUAGAUACCCUUGUAGUC
rnacentral:rRNA from 1 species